GGGAGGCCAGGCUCCAUUUCUUCUCGGUAACUCUGCAUUUCUCUGUAAAACCAGCACAGCCAGCACAGCUGGGAAGCAAAGAUGGGAGACUCUCCGGAGGUCUGUGGGCCAGCCAGCCUGAGGCAGCAGAUACAGACUGAAAUCUGACCUCUACACGUGUAUCUGCCUAGUAGUGAUGGUGCACACUCCUUUAAUCCCAG